GAUGUAUUCCAUAAAUUCGAAGACAAACAAGGAGGUUUUGUUCAGUCGGAUACAAAUAGUUUGUUGAGCUUAUAUAAUGCAGCACAUCUGAGUAUCAAGGGGGAGGAUGUAUUUGACAUGGCAGUCUCUUUCACGAGAAGACACCUCCUCGGGGCAUUAGAAAAUUUGGAAUCACCAUUUGCAGGGGAAGUUUCUUCUUCCCUUCUUACACCUCCUUUUCGAAGAGUUGGGAUAUUAGAAGCAAGAAGCUACCUACCAUGUUACACAAACAAGGCUACACGAAAUGAAGCCAUAUUGGAGCUUGCCAAAUUGAAUUUUAAUAUUCUGCAACUUCAUUUUUGUGAGGAGUUGAAAGACGUCACAAUGUGGUGGAAUAAGAUCAAAAUGAAGUCAAGGUUGAGUUUUGUAAGAGACAGAAUUGUAGAAACUUA
rnacentral:rRNA from 1 species